GAAAAGAACUUUGAAAAGAGAGUUAAACAGUACGUGAAAUUGUUGAAAGGGAAACGAUUAAAGCCAGUCGUACCGGCGGGUAAUCAGCCUUUUGGGUGUGAUUAUGUGGAGCGUGAGGAGUUUAAUCGCCUUCAUGCCUGCGUAUUCGUGCACUUUGGGUGUACUUGCUCGUGUGGUAGGUUAACAUCAAUUUCGGUCGUCAUAAAAUGACUGGGGGAAGGUAGCUCCUUCGGGAGUGUUAAGCCCUUGGUAGAUGUGAUGUCUGGGAUCGAGGAUUGCAACGGAUACCUUUUUGGGCUAGCCGCCUGGUCUCUAAUAUGAAGUUGGGUUACGGACAGCAUGCUGACUGUGAUCUAAUUUUCAGUUAAAAGAUUAGAGCGAGUGUAAAUUCGUUAAGGAU
rnacentral:rRNA from 1 species